UACGUAGGGUCCGAGCGUUGUCCGGAAUUACUGGGCGUAAAGAGCUCGUAGGUGGUUUGUCGCGUUGUUCGUGAAACUCACAGCUUAACUGUGGGCGUGCGGGCGAUACGGGCAGACUUGAGUACUGCAGGGGAGACUGGAAUUCCUGGUGUAGCGGUGGAAUGCGCAGAUAGUCAGGAGGAACACCGGUGGCGAAGGCGGGUCUCUGGGCAGUAACUGACGCUGAGGAGCGAAAGCGUGGGGAGCGAACAGG
rnacentral:rRNA from 1 species